rnacentral:rRNA from 1 species
GUGGGGAAUCUUCCGCAAUGGACGAAAGUCUGACGGAGCAACGCCGCGUGAGUGAUGAAGGUCUUCGGAUUGUAAAGCUCUGUUAAUCGGGACGAAAGAGCCUAGUGUGAAUAAUGCUAGGAAGUGACGGUACCUGAAUAGAAAGCCACGGCUAACUACGUGCCAGCAGCCGCGGUAAUACGUAGGUGGCAAGCGUUGUCCGGAAUUAUUGGGCGUAAAGCGCGCGCAGGCGGAUCUGCCAGUCUGUCUUAAAAGUUCGGGGCUUAACCCCGUGAUGGGAUGGAAACUACAGAUCUAGAGUAUCGGAGAGGAAAGUGGAAUUCCUAGUGUAGCGGUGAAAUGCGUAGAUAUUAGGAAGAACACCAGUGGCGAAGGCGACUUUCUGGACGAAAACUGACGCUGAGGCGCGAAAGCCAGAGGAGCGAACGGGAUUAGAAACCCGAGUAGUCC